GACGAACGCUGGUGGCGUGCCUAAUACAUGCACGCUGAGCGCUGAAGGUUGGUACUUGUCCCAACUGGCUGAGCAGCGAACGGGCGAGUUACGCGAGGGGCAUCUGCCUUUGAGCGGGGGACAACCAUCGGAAACGAAUGCUAAUACCGCAUAAAAACUUUACACACAAGUUUUAAGUUUGAAAGAUGCAAUUGCAUCACUCAAAGAUGAUCCCGCGUUGUAUUAGCUAGUUGGUGAGGUAAAGGCUCACCAAGGCGAUGAUACAUAGCCGACCUGAGAGGGUGAUCGGCCACAUUGGGACUGAGACACGGCCCAAACUCCUACGGGAGGCAGCAGUAGGGAAUCUUCGGCAAUGGACGAAAGUCUGACCGAGCAACGCCGCGUGAGUGAAGAAGGUUUUCGGAUCGUAAAACUCUGUUGGUAGAGAAGAACGUUGGUGAGAGUGGAAAGCUCAUCAAGUGACGGUAACUACCCAGAAAGGGACGGCUAACUACGUG
rnacentral:rRNA from 1 species